GAUGAAGAACGUAGUGAAAUGCGAUAAGUAAUGUGAAUUGCAGAAUUCAGUGAAUCAUCGAAUCUUUGAACGCACAUUGCGCCCGCCAGUAUUCUGGCGGGCAUGCCUGUUCGAGCGUCAUUUCAACCAUCAAGCCCCCGGCUUGUGUUGGGGACCUGCGGCUGCCGCAGGCCCUGAAAACCAGUGGCGGGCUCGCUAGUCACUCCGAGCGUAGUAAUACAUCUCGCUCAGGGCGUGCUGCGGGUUCCGGCCGUUAAAAAGCCUUAUUUACCCAAGGUUGACCUCGGAUCAGGUAGGAAUACCCGCUGAACUUAAGCAUAUCAAUAAGCGGAGGA
rnacentral:misc_RNA from 1 species